AAAGCCUGACGCAGCGACGCCGCGUGAGGGAUGAAGGUUUUCGGAUCGUAAACCUCUGUCAGAAGGGAAGAAACCGCACCGUGCUAAUCAGCGGUGCCUUGACGGUACCUUCAAAGGAAGCCCCGGCUAACUUCGUGCCAGCAGCCGCGGUAAUACGAAGGGGGCUAGCGUUGUUCGGAAUUACUGGGCGUAAAGCGCACGUAGGCGGAUAUUUAAGUCAGGGGUGAAAUCCCAGAGCUCAACUCUGGAACUGCCUUUGAUACUGGGUAUCUUGAGUAUGGAAGAGGUAAGUGGAAUUCCGAGUGUAGAGGUGAAAUUCGUAGAUAUUCGGAGGAACACCAGUGGCGAAGGCGGCUUACUGGUCCAUUACUGACGCUGAGGUGCGAAAGCGUGGGGAGCAAACA
rnacentral:rRNA from 1 species